rnacentral:rRNA from 1 species
AUUGAACGCUGGCGGCAGGCCUAACACAUACAAGUCGAGCGGAUGAAGGGAGCUUGCUCCUGGAUUCAGCGGCGGACGGGUGAGUAAUGCCUAGGAAUCUGCCUGGUAGUGGGGGAUAACGUCCGGAAACGGGCGCUAAUACCGCAUACGUCCUGAGGGAGAAAGUGGGGGAUCUUCGGACCUCACGCUAUCAGAUGAGCCUAGGUCGGAUUAGCUAGUUGGUGGGGUAAAGGCCGACCAAGGCGACGAUCCGUAACUGGUCUGAGAGGAUGAUCAGUCACACUGGAACUGAGACACGGUCCAGACUCCUACGGGAGGCAGCAGUGGGGAAUAUUGGACAAUGGGCGAAAGCCUGAUCCAGCCAUGCCGCGUGUGUGAAGAAGGUCUUCGGAUUGUAAAGCACUUUAAGUUGGGAGGAAGGGCAGUAAGUUAAUACCUUGCUGUUUUGACGUUACCAACAGAAUAAGCACCGGCUAACUUCGUG